rnacentral:rRNA from 1 species
UACGCAGGUGGCAAGCGUUGUCCGGAUUUACUGGGCGUAAAGGAUGCGUAGGCGGACAUUUAAGUCAGAUGUGAAAUACCCGAGCUUAACUUGGGUGCUGCAUUUGAAACUGGGUGUCUAGAGUGCAGGAGAGGUAAGUGGAAUUCCUAGUGUAGCGGUGAAAUGCGUAGAGAUUAGGAAGAACACCAGUGGCGAAGGCGACUUACUGGACUGUAACUGACGCUGAGGCAUGAAAGCGUGGGGAGCAAACAGG